UUGUCUCUACAUUCAACUGGCCUGAUCUAACAAAAUACCGACGCUAGGCCUAUGAUGAGUUACUAUUAAUAUUUGGAUACGGCACACGUCCCAUGCAACUGUAGCAGCUGAUCAGCGAAGUGGACAGUUUAACGCCUGAAGGUGACAGAUGAAAACAGAAAGGUUACAAAAACAGCAUUCUUUGGAAGAACACCUGGCCAUUUGGAGUCACACCCGGCAGCCUCUUCAGAGUUGGCCACACUGCCACAGAGAUGUCAGCCCAUUUCCAGACCCAUCCUCCGCUGGGCCUCCCAGGAGGAGGAGCCUUGAGUGACACCUCCCUCUACCAAGGGCCGAACUGGUAAAUAUAGGCAUCACGGCUCCAGCAUAAAUAGAGUGGAACUGGACAGAAAAUCUGAACAUGGAGGAAAACCUCAAAAAGGAAUCAAUCAGCUAGAAAUGGCUUAGCGACAAUUCCCAGGCAGCUGCUCUAGGCCUUGACGUACUUAUUGGUUAAUGAUGGUGGAGACAGUCAUCAGUGUUUUGGGCACGGGCCAUUGUGUAUGAUAUCACAAAGUUUGCCACUGACUUUUCUUGGGUUCAGCUGUCCAUAAUCAGUCUGAACAAAGUUCUGUGCAACAUUACUGCCUGUUUAAUGUUCCUAAAGGAAAAGAGAACAUGUAAUAAUGAUUUUAAAAUAAACACUGAGAGGACAAAG